rnacentral:rRNA from 1 species
GAUGAACGCUGGCGGCGUGCCUAAUACAUGCAAGUCGAGCGAACGGACGAGCAGCUUGCUUCUCUGAUGUUAGCGGCGGACGGGUGAGUAACACGUGGAUACCCUACCUAUAAGACUGGGAUAACUUCGGGAAACCGUAGCUAAUACCGGCUAAUAUUUUGAACCGCAUGGUUCAACAUUGAACAACGAACUUUCUCUCACUUAUAGAUGGCUACGCGCUGCAUUAGCUACUUUGUUAAGUAACGGCUUACCAAGGCAACGAUGCAUAGCCGACCUGAUAGGGAGAUAGGCCACACUGGAACUGAGACACGGUCCAGACUCCUACGGGAGGCAGCAGUAGGGAAUGUUGCGCAAUGGGCGAAAGCCUGACGGAGCAACGCGGCGUGAGUGAUGAAGGUCUUCGGAUCGUAAAACUCUGUUAUUAGGGAAGAACAUAUGUGUAAGUAACUAUGCACAUCUUGACGGUACCUAAUCAGAAAGCAACGGCUAACUACGUG